GACGAACGCUGGCGGCGUGCUUAACACAUGCAAGUCGAACGGAAAGGCCCUGCUUUUGUGGGGUGCUCGAGUGGCGAACGGGUGAGUAACACGUGAGUAACCUGCCCUUGACUUUGGGAUAACUUCAGGAAACUGGGGCUAAUACCGGAUAGGAGCUCCUGCUGCAUGGUGGGGGUUGGAAAGUUUCGGCGGUUGGGGAUGGACUCGCGGCUUAUCAGCUUGUUGGUGGGGUAGUGGCUUACCAAGGCUUUGACGGGUAGCCGGCCUGAGAGGGUGACCGGCCACAGUGGGACUGAGAUACGGCCAAGACUCCUACGGGAGGAAGCAGUGGGGAAUAGUGCAAAAUGGGCGGAAGCCUGAUGCAGCAACGCCGCGUGCGGGAUGACGGCCUUCGGGUUGUAAACCGCUUUCGCCUGUGACGAAGCGUGAGUGACGGUAAUGGGUAAAGAAGCACCGGCUAACUACGU
rnacentral:rRNA from 1 species